UACGUAGGGGGCGAGCGUUGUCCGGAGUUACUGGGCGUAAAGCGCACGUAGGCGGCCUUCUAAGUCGGACGUGAAAUCCCUCGGCUCAACCGAGGAACUGCGUCCGAUACUGAAAGGCUUGAAUCCGGGAGAGGGAUGUGGAAUUCCAGGUGUAGCGGUGAAAUGCGUAGAUAUCUGGAGGAACACCGGUGGCGAAGGCGGCAUCCUGGACCGGUAUUGACGCUGAGGCGGCGAAAAGCUAGGGGGAGCAAACGGGG
rnacentral:rRNA from 1 species